UAUAAUGAGAGAUUGUUACAUCAGCAUUUCAGAUGGAGAGGUGGAAGUUUCCUCUUCUAUGCAGAGGGGAUAAGUAGAUCCAGACUGGCCAUAGUGACAGAUAUCAAAAGAGGGAUCUUUACGUCAGUCCUAAAAGGUAUGACAACAUCCUCACUUUCUCUUCCCAUUUCAUUCUAGGAAUUUCUUUUAUGAUCCUUGGGCCAGAUAACUGAAAGAUGGCAAAGGAGAAAGUGGGAAUAUGAUUUAUUCAUUAGUUCUUUGUCAGUUUAAACCAAUUCACUUCAACAAGUAGUUAAUGCGUGAAUACCAGGUACUAAGGUAUUGCUGCGUGGUAGAGAUUCAGUGUUUGCAUUUGAGAUCCAUCAUUCUGUUAACUUUGUGGAGAAUAAAUUUGGCUGGGGCUGGGGAGUGAGAGUGGGCACAAGAUUGGAGGCAAUAACAAUUUGACUUCACCAUUUAAUAAGGCUAUGACUUAGGAGUAUUUAUUUAACCUUUCUGUGUCUUAAUCCCUUCAUCUGUAUAAUGGGAAUGCUAAUAGUACAUAUCCUGUAGGUUUAUUGGGAAAUUAUUUAUUUAUAAAGUGUUUAAAAUAUACCCUACAGAUUUCAUGGCUGGAGCAGGAAAAGUUAUGAGCUUGGAAUAUCUUCAGUGCCUGAAAGUGAGGAAGUGCUCCCAAAAAUAUGAAGGCCUGUCAAAAGGGAGAGAACAAGAAGGAGGAGGAGCUAGAAAAAGAAAAAGCAGUGGGAACUGUCAUGGGUGAAUCCCAGAAUGGGCAUCCCAGAUGACAUCUGUCUCCAUUCCUGCCAUCUCUUCCUGGCUGCCAGCCACUUAGCCUCCAGGUGUUUGUGUCUAAGGCCAACUCUCUUUCCAGACUAGAAGAAAGUGAGGCAGCUCACCUUUUCAUUUAGGUUUACUUUGGAAAGUUCUGUGGUUGAAUAUCAACAUAGUGACUGAUUUGUGGCUGUAAAGCUGUAGCAGCUCAGGUAGCACAUGUAAGAGUGAGACUGGAUGGAGAGACUGGAUGAAUUAUGCCAUCUUACCAAGGCAUUGAUUAGUUGAUUAAGGCUUGUUUGAGCAAAAAAGUGAGUUAUAUCAGAUAUAGUUAUAUCAGAUACACUGAUACUCAAAUCCCACCAGAGAACUCAGCAGGCCACCGAUAACCCAUUCACUUUUCUUCUCCCGUGACUUUACUCAUCUUAUUAUUAAACAAGGAAUGUCUUGGUCCACCACUGAACCAAGUUUAAGAGUCAACUCAAAUGCCACUUACUUCUUGAAGCCCUUCAUGAUACUGUCAAGGAUAAUGGAAAUAUAUGAUUUCUCCCUUUCAUCUAUAUAAAUUAUUUCCCCAUAUAUACAUUAACAUGUCGUCAGGAAACUUAACAGAAAUAUGGUAACUCUUAUUAAGUUUCCUUUAAGCAUUUUUUUCUAUACUUGUGCCUUAGAAAAAUUGGAAGAACUAGAAAUGGAAAUAUUGCAGAGUGAGAAACUUAUGGGAUGUUCGUUAGAGAGAGUAUCAUGAAGGAAAACAUGAGAUUAAAGACACUGCAACUAUCUGAGAGGCCUGUGUAAAAUUGUGUAAGCAAAAUAAGGAAUCUAAUAUUGAAAUAUGCAAAUAAUUUUACUUUUAGGAACUUAGACUCCUUUGUAGAGCAUUAAAUUUUAUGCUAUAUUAAGUAGAGGUAAUGCUGUUUUGUACAUAAAAACUAUCUUUGGAUUAUUUACCUUUCCUUUUCUUUCCGAAAUUGUUGUCUUUUCAACUCCGUCUUUAGGGACAGACAAAUGAUCAGCUGAGUGGUAUAAUUAAUAGAAGCACCAGUUUUAGAAGCUCUACUUCUGGAAGUAGAAUAAAAAGGAGGUGUAACCCAGAGUUUAAGAUAUCCACUGAUAAUGAGAGUAUUUGAGUGAUGGUAAAUGGCAAGGAGAAAGACUUAAAGAUCUAUCUAGAGACAAACCCUUAUACUCUAGGCAUGCUGCCAGAUAAAGACUAAAAACAGCGUGUAAGAUGGCAAGGAAAAUGUGCUGUUUGGUUUCUUCAUUGCCAUAAAAGCCACUGAGAAGGGCUUAAAGAGAUAUGCCAUUCCUAAAUGGUAACAUUAGACUUCUUGUUCUAUGACUUGAGUGAAAAAUUUUGCCAUUAGGAAAUGGGGACAAGGAAUGUCAUCUUCAACACAGGGUAGCUUUUUGGUCUAUCUACUCGUGGUCAACAAAAGGUACAGUAAGUAAGGUCACAGAAUGGUCACCCCACUUUGGUUCAAUCCUGUUCUUGGACAGAUCAGUAACUCAACGACGCUUUGUUUUUCUUUUGUGAAGCCUCUUCAGCCUUGAUCAUAAUGAUUUCAUUAGCAGUGUGUGCUUGAUUUUUGCACACCCACACAAUGUUUUGUAUUACCCAACAAACUUACAGAAUGUAGCCACAGCUUCUUGCUCCAGGAAAUGUCUAUCAAUUUAAUUAUUAAAACUAGUUUAAUGUUUGGUGCCCUGUGAGCAGGAUCUUUAAGAUGAAAUGAGCCAAUCCACAUUCCAUUAUUUCACUGACAUUUAACAUAAUCCUUGCAGCUAUCAAGCUAUGCCUCCCAAAUCUAAGACAAUGAGUAAAUGUUAUUAGUUGAAUCGGUGACUAAAUCAGCUAAAAUGGUUGCUUGACUAAAUGAACGAGUUACUUGAUACAUCGUGAACACAUUGAAGGAAAUUGGAAGAAAUGGAAUUCUGGCUCCUGGGUCCCUAAAAAUUGCUGAGUGUGUUUCCUUUUUUGUAAAAUAGGUAUAUUAAUAUUUUGCCUAGAUGUGUUACAGUAAAGAUUAAAAAUAAGUCAAGUAAAAUAUCUAGCAUAUAGCAGAGAAUAAAUGGUUGCUGUAACUUAUUAUGAUUAUUUAUUAAAAGUUCAAGUUGCUUUGAAGAAAUUAAGCAAUUAGUUACUGGUCUAUCUGGAUCUUAGAAAACUCUAACUAGUACAUUCAAUCAACUUAAGAUAAUAGCAAGAC
rnacentral:lncRNA from 10 species